rnacentral:rRNA from 1 species
UNAUUUGGAAGUAAAAGUCGUAACAAGGUUUCAGUAGCGUGAGACCUGCGGAAGGAAAAGCAGUGAAGAUUAUUAAAGAAGAGUAAAAUAGAUGCUGGCCUUUCUACCUUAAUUUGGCGGGACGCAUGUGCACACCUUCUCCUUCAUCCACUCACACCCCUGUGCACUUGUGAGACAGCAAUGGUGGUGGAUUUAAUUCCACCCAUUUGCUGUCUACUUAAUCUACACACACCCUAUUUAAUUUAAACUGAAUGUAAUUGAUGUAACACAUCUAAUACUAAGUUUCAACAACGGAUCUCUUGGCUCUCGCAUCGAUGAAGAACCCAGCGAAAUGCGAUAAGUAAUGUGAAUUCCAGAAUUCAGUCAAUCAUCGAAUCUUUGAACGCACCUUGCGCUCCUUGGUAUUCCUUGGACCACGCCUGUUUGAGUAUCAUGAAAUCUUCAAAGCAAACCUUUUGUUAAUUCAAUUGGUCUUUUUACUCUCGCUUCGGAGGAUAUCAUCGCACCCUCACACCUGCCCCUCUUUGUGCAUUAGCUGGAUCUCAGCGUUAUGCUUGCCCCCACUCCGCGUGAUAACUUAUCUAUCGCUGAAGACACCCGUAAAAAAGGUGGCCAAGGUAAAUGCAGAUGAACCGCUUCUAAUAAUCCAUUUACUUGGACAGUAUUAUAUUUUAUGAUCAUGAUCUCAAAUCAGCUGUGAGUGACAUACCCGUUCUGAAC